CGGACGGGUGAGUAACGCGUGAGAAUCUGCCUUCCGGAUGGGGGCAACAGGGGGAAACCGCUGCUAAUCCCCAAUGUGCCGAAAGGUGAAACGGAAUUUCCGCCGGAAGAGGAGCUCGCGUCUGAUUAGCUAGUUGGUGGGGUAAGAGCUUACCAAGGCAGCGAUCAGUAGCUGGUCUGAGAGGACGAGCAGCCACACUGGGACUGAGACACGGCCCAGACUCCUACGGGAGGCAGCAGUGGGGAAUCUUCCGCAAUGGGCGCAAGCCUGACGGAGCUAUACCGCGUGAGGGAAGAAGGCUCUUGGGUCGUAAACCUCUUUUCUUGGGGAAGGAAGCUGACGGUACCCAAGGAAAAAGCCUCGGCCAACUCCGUGCCAGCAGCCGCGGUAAUACGGAGGAGGCAAGCGUUAUCCGGAAUUAUUGGGCGUAAAGCGUCCGCAGGUGGCCUCUCAAGUCUGCGGUGAAAGAGCGGGGCUUAACCCCGGAGGAGCCGUGGAAACUGAGAAGCUAGAGUGCGGUAGGGGUAGAGGGAAUUCCCAGUGUAGCGGUGAAAUGCGUAGAGAUUGGGAAGAACAUCGGUGGCGAAAGCGCUCUACUGGACCGCAACUGACACUCAGGGACGAAAGCUAGGGGAGCGAAAGGGAUUAGAUACCCCUGUAGUC
rnacentral:rRNA from 1 species